rnacentral:lncRNA from 1 species
AUGCAUUUGAUUUCUAACUCUGUUUUAAGGAAAUCAGGAUUAGAGAUCAUAGAUAAUAAAUACAUUGUGGGGAUAGUAUGCAAGUGUCCCUGUAAAUCCAUAUCAAAGAAAAAUGCCUGGACCACACAUCAAAAGAACCGUGCUGAGCCUGUGUACGCACAUGCAUGCUCACACACACACACACACACACACACACACACACACACACACACACCACACACACACACUCACUCACCACACACACACACCACACAUACCACACACACCACACAUACACACACACAUGCCACACACACACCACACACACUCACACACACUCACACACACCACACACACACACAAACACCACACACAACACAACACACACACACAUUACACACACCACACACAUCACACACAACACACCACACACACCACACACAUCACAUACACACACACACACCACACAUACCACACACACCACACACACACACACAUGCCACACACACACCACACACACCACACACACUCACACACACCACACACACACACAACACACCACACACAACACACCACAAACACACACACAUUACACACACCACACACAUCACACACACACACACACACCACACACACACGCACACACAGUACACACACCACACACAUCACACACACACUCACACACACCACACACACCACACACACACACACAUUACACACACCACACACAUCACACACACACUCACACACACACACACACACACACACACGCACACAAACACACACACACACCACACACACACACACACAUUACACACACACACACACACACAUCACACACACACACACACACACACACACACACACACACACACACACACACACACCACACACACACACACACAUUACACACACCACACACAUCACAUACACACACACACCACACACACACACACAUUACACACCACACACACACACACACACACACACACCACACACACAUUACACACACCACACACAUCACAUACACACACACACACACACCACACACACACACAGAGUUUUAUUAAAAACAAAAUAUUGAAAGCAUUUAUCUGCAUAAAUGUUCUUUCAAUGUUUCAAUCAACUUUUCCAAUUAAAUAA